CCUGCUAGAUGAAGAGGAAGAGAAAGAAAACUCACAAAAGAGCAUAGAAUACGCGACCGACCAAGAGGAGUUUUUGUGAUAACGCUUGGUCAUCUCUUGACGGAGAGAGUCUCAGAUCAAAAACCCUGAUCAUAGCAACAGUACGGCAUAUGAGGGGGAAUAAUGCGAAUGCCAUCCAGCUAUCGUCGGGGCCCCAUGAUCGAUUUGAAGACUUGAUCAUAUCGCACUUUGCGAGUAAUCGGUAGCCACCUCGAAAUAGAAUUUGAAGAGAACUGAGCACAGCACAAACGACUAUCUGUGUGGCUUCUGAAGUCCAUCUCAUUGACGUUGCUGGAAAGAGGCUAGAGAAGCAAGAAAAACUGAUAUCUGGCUCUGUGCAUUGCCUUGGACAAGCUUCAGUUCAGCACCCAACAACUCGAGAAUGAAUGAAUAAUGGAUAUCUGAGUACGCAAAACAGGGCACAUCGGAAACAGAAAAUGGUUGGAUUUUUCAAGAGCUGGGGUUUUCUAUUGUUUUUCAACCCGGGUAUAGCCCUGCACUUGGUGUAUUCGUUUCCACAAAGGCAGAACAGAAACGCGAUUGGUAAUCGGC
rnacentral:sRNA from 1 species